rnacentral:rRNA from 1 species
GUGUCAGCAGCCGCGGUAAGACGGAGGGUGCAAGCGUUGUUCGGAAUUACUGGGCGUAAAGCGCGUGUAGGCGGCUAGCUAAGUCUGAUGUGAAAGCCCGGGGCUCACCCCCGGAAGUGCAUUGGAAACUGGCGAGCUCGAGUCCCGGAGAGGAGGGUGGAAUUCCUGGUGUAGCGGUGAAAUGCGUAGAUAUCAGGAGGAACACCGGUGGCGAAGGCGGCCCUCUGGACGGUGACUGACGCUGAGACGCGAAAGCGUGGGGAGCAAACAGGAUUAGAUACCCUGGUAGUCC